rnacentral:tRNA from 1 species
GCUUGGCUCAGUGGAUAGAGCAUUGGCCUGUGGACUGAAAGGUCCCAGGUUCGAUUCCUGGUCAAGAGCA